rnacentral:rRNA from 1 species
UACGAAGGGUGCAAGCGUUACUCGGAAUUACUGGGCGUAAAGCGCACGUAGGCGGCUUUCUAAGUCGGGGGUGAAAUCCUGGAGCUCAACUCCAGAACUGCCUUUGAUACUGGGAAGCUCGAGUCCGGAAGAGGUGAGUGGAACUCCGAGUGUAGAGGUGAAAUUCGUAGAUAUUCGGAAGAACACCAGUGGCGAAGGCGGCUCACUGGUCCGGUACUGACGCUGAGGUGCGAAAGCGUGGGGAGCAAACAGG